GGGGAAUAUUGCACAAUGGGGGAAACCCUGAUGCAGCGACGCCGCGUGAGCGAAGAAGUAUUUCGGUAUGUAAAGCUCUAUCAGCAGGGAAGAAGAAAUGACGGUACCUGACUAAGAAGCACCGGCUAAAUACGUGCCAGCAGCCGCGGUAAUACGUAUGGUGCAAGCGUUAUCCGGAUUUACUGGGUGUAAAGGGAGCGCAGGCGGAAGGCUAAGUCUGAUGUGAAAGCCCGGGGCUCAACCCCGGUACUGCAUUGGAAACUGGUCAUCUAGAGUGUCGGAGGGGUAAGCGGAAUUCCUAGUGUAGCGGUGAAAUGCGUAGAUAUUAGGAGGAACACCAGUGGCGAAGGCGGCUUACUGGACGAUAACUGACGCUGAGGCUCGAAAGCGUGGGGAGCAAAC
rnacentral:rRNA from 1 species